CCGCGGCAUGGUUGUCCUCCGGAGCACCAAAGGCGCAGAAAACAUAACUUGAGUUGUGCGGGAUUACGGGCGCGGCUCUCUGCUCGUCCCUCCAUCCCCGGGUGUUGUACUCGGCAUGCGGCUACCGGGGCGCUCGCGCUCCGGCACCGUGCCACAACAUACUGUGAGCGUGUAGGAUGUGACCCGAAAGAUGGUGAACUAUGCCUGAUCAGGUUGAAGUCAGGGGAAACCCUGAUGGAGGACCGAAGCAGUUCUGACGUGCAAAUCGAUUGUCAGAAUUGGGCAUAGGGGCGAAAGACCAAUCGAACCAUCUAGUAGCUGUUUUCCUUCCGAA
rnacentral:rRNA from 1 species